GGGCGGGUACCGAAGUGGACAAACGGGCCUGACUGUAGAUCAGGUGGCUUGCCUUCGGAGGUUCGAAUCCUUCCCCGCCCA
rnacentral:tRNA from 1 species